GAAGAAAUAGAAAAGAAAAGAAGAAGGGGAGGGGGGAGUGCAGAAUAAAGAAAAAGAUUGAGUGAACAGAAGAGAGAGUUAAAAAUUUCGAGUGUAUGUAGAACAGCUUCAGAUACACAUCACUGGAAAAUCGAAGACGCAGGGAAUGGAUUCAAAUACCCGUGAAAAGUAUCAUUCAUGUGGGCCAUCCAUCUUUUCUCGAACCUCUCAGCUUAACCUAGAGAGAUGCUUAACCUAUCAUAGUAUGCAUGCAACUGACUGUUUACCUUCGUUAAAAGGGACGAGAUAUCAUUCCACUUAAUCCAAAAAAAAA